UGGGGAAUAUUGCACAAUGGGCGCAAGCCUGAUGCAGUCAUGCCGCGUGUAUGAAGAAGGCCUUCGGGUUGUAAAGUACUUUCAGCGGGGAGGAAGGCGAUGCGGUUAAUAACCGCGUCGAUUGACGUUACCCGCAGAAGAAGCACCGGCUAACUCCGUGCCAGCAGCCGCGGUAAUACGGAGGGUGCAAGCGUUAAUAGGAAUUACUGGGCGUAAAGCGCACGCAGGCGGUCUGUCAAGUCGGAUGUGAAAUCCCCGGGCUCAACCUGGGAACUGCAUCCGAAACUGGCAGGCUUGAGUCUCGUAGAGGGGGGUAGAAUUCCAGGUGUAGCGGUGAAAUGCGUAGAGAUCUGGAGGAAUACCGGUGGCGAAGGCGGCCCCCUGGACGAAGACUGACGCUCAGGUGCGAAAGCGUGGGGAGCAAACA
rnacentral:rRNA from 1 species